AACCAAUGUUCAAACAGUGUAUGCAGAAGCAUGGAUCUGCUUUGUAAAUUAGACCUGCUGGCGUGAUAUGGCGGAGGCUGCGGUGAACUUUGCAAUAGAGACCUUGGGUCCUUUGCUUGUCGAAGAAAUCAGAUUGUGGGGAGCUGUUAGAAAAGAAGUUCAAAGUAUCAAAAGCGAACUGGAGAGUCUCAGAUCUUUCCUCAAAGACGCGGAUGCAAGGGCAGCAGUCGAAGAAUUAGAAGGAGGCGGUGAGGAAAGUGUCAGAACUUGGGAGAAACAACUGAGGGAUGAAGCUUAUCGCAUUGAAGAUGUGAUCGACGAGUACACACUCAUGGUGGCAAAACUCCCUCAUGGGAGUGGGCCUCGUUGGUGUUCUCCAUAGAAUCAGUCGUUUCAUAAAGAAGCUGAAGCUGCGGCGUGGAGUUGCUACUGAGAUUCAAGAUAUCAAAUCAGCGCUUGCUGAUAUAAAGGGAAGGGGAGAAAGAUAUCGAUUCAGAUCUAUUGAUGAACCAUCGAGCAGUGGAACCAGAAAUGUUAUCCCACAUGACUCUCGAGUUCGUUCCUUUUUCGUUGAAGAUGAUGAAGUUGUGGGCAUCAAAUCCAUUAAAGAUAAAUUGAUUGAUUUGAUGGUGAACGGAAGAUCCGAACGUUCAGUGGUUGCUGUGGUGGGUGAAGGAGGACUAGGCAAGACCACUGUUUCCGGAAAACUUUUUAACAAUGAUGGUUUAAAGAAUACAAAAAAAAUUAUUUGUUGAGGACAGUUAUAAAGGAGUUUCACAGUUUCUCAGGGCAGCCUACUCCAGUCGAGAUACACAAAAUGGAAGAGAUGGAGCUGAUCACCGCGCUGAGGGACCACCUGAAGGACAAGAGUUACAUGGUUGUGUUCGACGAUGUUUGGAAGAUUGAUUUCUGGGGAGACGUGGAGGAUGCUUUACUUGAUAACAAGAGAAGCAGCAGGAUAAUUGUCACAACACCGCACAUGAAUGUCGCUAAGUUUUGCAAAUCAUCUUCACCUGUUCAUGUCCAUGAGCUUGAAACUUUGCAUCCGAAUGAAGCGUGGAAACUUUUUUGUAGAAAGGCGUUCGGACCAAGCUCCGGAGGCUCUUGUCCUUCAGAGUUGAGGGCGUUGUCCCAGGACAUCCUUGCUAAAAGUGGAGGUUUGCCUCUUGCUAUUGUGGCCGUAGGUGGACUUCUUUCAACCAAGAACAGGGUUGUAUCUGAAUGGAAGAAAUUGUUUGAUAGGUUGGGCUCAAUGUUAGGAAGCGAUCCCCAUCUAAAAGAUUGCAACCGAGUUUUAUCUGAAGGGUAUCAUGAUCUUCCUCACCAUCUCAAAUCAUGUCUUCUGUACUUUGGCUUAUUUCCAGAGAGCUGCAAAGUUAACUGUGCUAGACUCAUCCGUUUGUGGAUAGCUGAGGGCUUUGUCCAGUACAGCAAACGCCCCACAUCUGAACAGGUUGCAGAAGAAUACUUGAAUGAGCUCGUUGACAGAAGCUUGGUUCAAGUUUCAGAGAGAGAUAUUUAUGGACGAGCUAGAAUCUGCCAAGUUCAUGAUCUUAUGCACGAGAUCAUCAUCAGAAAAACUGAAGAAUUGGGCUUCGGUCGUGUGCUGAACGGAGAGGACUUGAGUCAUUGCAGUAAAACUCGACGCAUUACUAUACAGAGAAGUAUUGAUGACGGUGCUUUAGAGAGAAUCAAGGACUCGAAGGUCCGUUCUGUUUUUCUUUUCAAUGUGGAUAGGCUGCCCGAUUCUUUCAUGAGUGCAAAUAUUGCCAAUUUCAAGCUCAUGAAAGUACUAGAUCUGGAAGAUGCUCCUGUAGAUUACCUUCCUGAAGGAGUGGGGAACUUAUUCAAUUUACACUACUUGAGUGUGAAAAAUACAAAAGUAGAAAGAAUUCCCAAGUCCAUUGGAAAUCUUCUCAGUUUAGAGACUUUGAAUAUGAAAAAUACUUUGGUGAGAGAACUUCCAGUAGAGAUCAGGAAUCUUAAAAAGUUGCGUUAUCUAAUGGUGUAUCAGCUCAAUUAUACCGCAGGUGGAACAGUGGCAGAAGAAGCAGCAGCGAAAUUACACGAGGGCUUUGGGUCUCUAACGAAUCUGCAGAAGUUGUGUAUUAUAGAAGCUGACUCUGAAGCGCUCAAAGAGCUUAUGAAGCUAAGGCAGUUAAGAAAGUUGAGCAUUAGGCCCCAAAAUGGAAGUGGCAAGGAUCUGUGUGCUUUGAUUGCAAAUUUGGAAAACCUAGAGUCUUUAAAUGUAGGAAUGAAAAGCAAAGAAGAAGUACUUGGCUUGCAGUCUUUGAGUCGUUCUCCUCGAUAUCUGCAGCGUCUGUACUUGAAGGGGAAUAUGAAGAAACUGCCGGAUUGGAUUUUUAAACUAAAAAAUGUAAUCAGAUUGAGUUUGGUACUGUCGGGAUUGACUGAGGAGCCAAUCAGAGUCCUUCAAGCCUUGCCUAAUUUAUUGGAUCUUUUACUCACAGGGACAUACAACUACGAGCUUUUUCACUUUGAAGCAGGUUGGUUUCCAAAACUCCAAAUAUUGAAGCUCUUUGACUUCGUCGCGGUGAAAUCGGUUAUAAUAGAGAAAGGUACGAUGCCUGAUAUUAAAGAACUGCAGAUUGGGCCUUGCCCGCUGUUGAUGGAGAUUCCUAUUGGAAUUGAACAUCUUAAAAACCUUAAGCUACUUCUAUUUGCUCGUAUGGUUAAACAAGUGUAUUACAUGACAAAAGACGAGAACUGGGAGAAGGUUACUGAGCAUAUACCAGAUGUCCUUGUCACUUUUGUGAAGGCCGGGCAAGUGUUUCAUUAUGGAAAAGAGGAUCUCUCGGUUCUCUCAUCUCUGUCUCCUGAAUAUGUUGAGCAAAUCUGCUGAAGAAGAGGACUCAAAUAGGGAGCAGUCUAUGAAAUAAGUAAACAUGUCUGCCACUCUCCUGCAUAUUUGGAUUAUUUUCUAUUUACUUUUAAGAAAAAUUAUUUUUCUCAUUUUUAAUUUGACAGACAAUUUAAUUAUAUAUAAUUCAAAUAAAAAUUCACCAAGAAAAUUCAUUUUUCCCUGUAAUUUGAGUACGUUUAAUAAAUAAAUAAACAAAUGCAGUAGGUCAGUAAAUCUUUUUCUAGUCAAAUAUAUAGUUAGAAUCAUAUAAUGAUUAGGUAUUAAUGUUAGUAUAGUAAUUUCCGUUAUAUUUUUUGUUACCAUGAACAGAUGGAGUAUAUAUAUCUUGCUUCUAGCGAAUUCAUUGAUGAGUUCAUCGAACGUAUACUGGAUCAGAUUGUGGCGGCAAUGCUGCUAUUGAUAUGCUUUGAGUUUCGGUAAUUAUUAUCAGUGUUAUCAUGUAAUACAUGCUUAUGUGAGUGGUUGCUGCUGCGAGUGUGAGUGUAUUCUUCUAUAUAUCUAAGACUCAGAUUAUGAUUUUAGAAAUAUUGUAGUAUUGCCAGGAAUCGUCAUCAUAUAAUAUUUAAUGUUUAAUAAUAAAACUGUCUAAUGUUUAAUAAUAAAAACUGUGUGCCAAUGUGGUUACCAUUGGUAUGUGGUUAAUUUGUGUGGAAUGAUGCAUUUGCCUUAAUUUUAAUCUGUACCUUGGUAGUGUCGUUAAGGUGCACCAAAUUUAAAACCUUACCACUAAUAUAAAUAAUUAGUACAAAGCGAAGUAAGGAUCGAUCCCACAGAGACUAUGCUAGUUAUAUUUAUUUAUCAACUCUAAAGCAAGAUUUAAAAUAAAAUAAUAGUAGUAAUAAUAGAAAUUAAUCUAACUAAAGAAAAUGCCAAUUAUAAAUAAAAAGGGGGUUUAUGAAUUUUUAACUAAAUAGUAAGAAAUAAAGAAAUUAAAACUACGAACAAGAAUUUAAUAAAAACUCUAGUUAAAGGAAAAAGAAAUAAUGAUGAUGAAAACUUUGGUUAAAGGAUCAUUCGCCACCACCAAACAUGCACAUAAUAUAUUAAUUCUAUCAUCAAUUUAUAUUGAAACUAUCAACCGUAGACAACAAUAAGCUCUGUUAGUCUCAAUCUUUCCUUAGUGUGUCGUUAGGCAAAACAAGCUCUUCACCUAAUCUUUAACCAUUAAAUAAUUUAAAACAAGCUCUUUAAAUUUAAGAUAAUGGAAGCAUUAAACAAAGAAAUAUAUUAAAUUGAUCUAGGCAAUAAACACACAAGCUCGGAUUAUUUAACCUAGGUUAUGUUCUCCAAUUGAAAUCACUGAUUCCAACCUGCUACUAAUGAUUAAAAUAUCAAGACAAUUACGGAUCAAGAAUUUUAAUCUAGCAAUAGAAUUUAUUCAAGUCCUAUCUAAUUGGCCACUCAAAUAAAACAAGAAUAAACCAUGAAUAUUAAUUAUAAAAGAACAUAAACAAUCUCAAUUAAAUAAAUUGAAUGAUAGAGUUUAACUUUAAUUGCAUAGCAUGUUUAGGGUUUUGAAUUCACCCUCAACCAAAUAAAAAUUUAGCCUAACAUAAUUGAAUUGGGAAGAAGAGAAUUGACAAAACCAAUCAUGGAGAUUAAUUCAAGCGGCUGCUGAUUUUUCUCUUCUCCUUGCGCCUGUUGAUUUUUUUCUCUGCCCGAAUUGCGUCUGCCCUCCCCUCUCGCUCUCUGGCAGCUCUCCUUUUAUAAUGCUAGUUGACCGAAUUCUUCUCCAACAAGUCUAAAGAAAUCCUUUUUCAAUUCUAAUUGAAAUCCUUUUCCAAUUUGAACUUGUAUUCCUUUUCAAUUUGAACUUCUUCAUGUCCUUUUUAUCCACAAUCUCCAAUUAAUUCCCUAUUCAAUAAAAUAAUACAAUUAAUUAAAAAUAAUAAAUAAAAAUAACUAGCAAAUAUAUAAUAAAGGGUAAAAUAUGUAUAUUAAUUAAUUCCCUAUUCAAUUAAAAAUUAACUAAAAUAACUAGAAUGUUUCAGAUCAAAACAAGAAAAAGAUGGAGAAAUUAAUAACAAAAUAUAUGAAAAAUAUGCACUUAUCAUACCUUAUUGUCUUCGUCAUAAUAACUUAGCAAAAAAUUGUAUCACAUGCAUUUUCAUGUUCUCAAGUUUAAUUUCCUCUUCAUUUGCAUAAUUGUGCUUAUUAUUUUGCGACAUCUAUCUGGAUUAGUCUACAACUUUCAUUGGAUUUAUUUAUUUAUUUUAUUUAAGAAGUGAACUGGACAUGUAUGUGAAACCGUUAUUCUAAAAAUUAAAUGCAUAGUUAAGAUUGCGGUUAAUGAAUUUUCAAACAAUCACUUAUUUAAAAAAAAAAAAUUACUCAAUUAUAUUUGAGUUGUCAAAUUAUUUUAAGUAAACAUAUAUCAUUUUUGGACUGGAUACACUCACAAUCAUCAAAUAAUUGAUUUUCAAAUAUAAUUUGAGAAUAAAAUCCAUCUGGAUUGCAGACUUUUUGUAACACAGAGAAAGUCUAUAAUUGGGAUUGGGGAAUUAAACUUACUAAGCCAUUCUACUAUUCUUGGGGAAAAAAUAUAAGUGGCAGCAGUUAGGGUUAUAAGGUAAAGAAUACAGAGAAACUUUAUAAAAAAAAGCAUAGGUGACUCUAAAUUUACAAUCAAAUAAAAGAGAAAUUUUAUUUUAAAAAAAAAGUAUGGGUAACUCUAAAGUUAGAAAAUUACAGAUGAUUGCGAUUGAAUUUGUAAUUUUGCUUUCGAAAUUGCUUUAAGUUGCUUAGUAAAUUGGUCCUGCGGAGACUCACUCCUUAUAAUCUAUAUGUUAGAUCAAAGUGUUAGUUUUUGCGUGAGUUAAAGAGAAAGAUUGAUAGAAAUUUCAUCUUAUUUUUUCAUGUCAUGGAUAAAUGAGAGCCGAAACAAUGUUGAGUCUCUUCACUAUAAAAGCAAUUUUCAUACAUCUUUUCCUUCAGCUUUAUGAUAUUCAAUGCACGUAGUCCCGAGUCCCUACCUCUAGCCCUUUAUUAAUUAUUGGUUAAGAAACUUGUGGGCCUUAAAUGAUAAGAUAUAUACUUCUUAACUCCACCUUCACGGUUUCGCCAUCUUGGUUGGAAGAAAUCAUUAAAAGAAACACAGAUAAAAUUAAACACAGAUAAAAUUAAAAAAAUCAUUAAAAGAAAUUGUAACCGCUGCUCAUCAAUAAAAAGCCAUCUUGGUUGGAAGAAUUUCAAUAAAAAUACAGAUGGUAUUUGAUUUGAAUUUGAAAAGUAAAUUAAGGACACUAAUAAAUAAGGAAACACAAAUAAAAAAGCCAAAACACAAACGACCACAUAUACAUAGGCCGGGCCGUGCCCUUGGACAUGACAACACGACCCUCAAAUAAUUUCAAUCUCUUGAUUAUUAUUCCCAAAACACCUUUCCAAACUUUCCCUGCAUUAAAAGUCAUGAAGAUAAUUCAUUAAUUUGAUCAAACAGUAAAGUUAAUUAUGUCAUUGUAUAUUUGUGGGUCAAGUUAAAUGAAGCAUUUUCCUCCAUAUUGAUCAUUUUCCCAGCGAACGUAUAACAAACUUUUCAGCACUUUAAUUAAUCUCACCGUUAAGUCUUAAACUCUCUCUGUAUUCAACACAUCGACCCUUGAAUCUUGAUGGCAAUAUUAGUAGUAGGUAUGGCUGCUGAAGAAGAAGAGAAAAGAGAAAUGAGUUUUACAGAAAAAGAUGAAGAAGAAGAUAAAUGGAUAAUGCAUUAUUCAUCAAAGCAUCAAAUACUGUUAGUGGGUGAAAGAGAUUUCUCGUUUUCCUUUGCUUAUCGCAGAAAUUUGGCUCUGCUUCUAACAUCUGGGCUUCUUCUCUUGAUUCUUAUGGUAAUUCAUUCAUUUCUCUAAUCUCUCUCUUCUCUUACAUCUUUUUUGUUUCUUUAGAUUUUUUUUUUAUCAUAUGAUGUGGCAAAAAUUAUUCUGUUUAUAAGUCUUUAUCCUCAAUUUGAUAUGUUAAAUUGUCACUUACUUUGAUGUGUAACCGUAAAGAAAUGAUCAAAUUUAUAGGAAAAUAGUAAAAUGACCAGGAAAACUAGGAAAACGUAUUAUUAAUGCCUCUGUUUUUUUUUUUUUUUUUCCAAUAAUUGGAUUUCAUAUGAUGGGAGGCCAAAAUGACCCUAUUUACAAAUCUUUAUCUUCAAUUUGAACUGUUUUACUUCAAAACUAGAACUAUUAAAUAAGAGUCAGGCAUUAGUACAAAAGUUAAAUAUAACAGUCCGGUCCCUUCUUUAUAAGGUGAAUAUCAUUUCAAGGUCACAUUUAUUUAGGGGCGAAGCUACUUUUUUCAAGCUGGUGGUUAGACUAAUUUUUUUAAGUUAAAAAAAAAUCUUAAAGUAAAGCUAUUGAAUUAAACCAUAACAAUAAGUUACACAUUUUUUAGGUUUUAAUAAUAUUUUGUGAUUUAUGUUUAUUUAAAAGUAAAAAUUAUCAAACUUCAAAACUGUGACUACAAUACUCCAUGAGUGCCAUACUCCACAACUUGGCCCUGCUAGAUGGUUCUAGAUUAUUGACUUUUAAUUACUUUUUAAUUAUCUAAUGAUGCUUAGUCUAUAGAGUACGGUAUCCUUAGAAAUCAUAAAUAGACACUUUAAAGAAUUAAAAGCUAAAUGAGUGAUAAAUAUCUUUUUGUAAUUAGUUUAAUUGAGACCAAAAAUAGAUUUCUAAAAUGAGAUGGAGUGGGGAAGAAGUUGGGAAAAAUGACCGUGAGCUUGAGCGAUAAACUUGUAAAUUAUGCUGUGGUGUUUUGUUAAAAAUAACAGUGGCAGCUAGUUUUAUAAAUUCUGCAUGGUAAUUUUGUGAACAACAUAGAAAUAAAAAAUAAAAAAACUAAAAAACUAAAUUAUUAUUAUUAUUAUUUUGUUGGCGUAUCUUGCUUAUUUGGAAGUGAACAUAAAUUGUAUAUUUGGAUGGACUAGAAACUGUGAUUCAGAAAUUCAAGGAGGCACGGUCAAAUUUGGACACCCUAAGGAAGCUGGGAGCAUCCAUUCUCCAUGGAGUUGAUGCAACUGAAAUGAAGUAACAUCCUCAAUUUACCAAGCGGAAGUUCGAUAGAAUAAUCUUCAACUUCCCCCAUGCUGGCUUUCAUGGAAAGGAAGAAGAUGACGAAGUUAUUCGUGAGCUGCCUGGUGAGUCCAUUGGACAUAUGUGUCAAUAUAGUGAGUUAAAAAUGGUUGUAAUACGAGGGAACUUGAUAUAUAAAGUGAUCCAUAUUUCUUAAUAAUUCAAGAUGCAUGUAGUGUUCAGGAGUUUGCGUGAUAUUUCCACGUCACCAAUUCUUAAAAUGUUGGCUCCUACACCUGUUCCAUGAUCUUUCUUCUGGUAAUUAUCGCAGAAUGCAUAUGAGCCUUGUGGAAGGUUUCUUCAGAAAUGCAAGUGGUAUGCUGAGGCCAGAUGGUGAAGUUCAUGUAAGCCACAAAACAACAGCUCCAUUUUGCAAAUGGCAUAUCGAUCGAGGAACUCGCUCGCAAGCACUCUUUGUCAAGACUCGACUGUGUCCAAUUUAGAAAAAAAGACGACCCAGGUCACAACAACAAGAAAGGUGCUGGUUCGCAAUGCAAUGACCAUUUUCCCUUGAGAAAGUGCAGUACCUUCAAAUUUGGAUUCUAUCGUGCUCGCAAGAGGUCUAAAGUAAUGAGUUAUGGUGGAUUUGCUAUCAAAAGACCUAAGGCUGCUCAAGAGAUUCCAAUCGAAGCGCAGAAGCAUGAAACGGAUCCAUUUGACUGGAGAUAUACUAAUGCAAGGUCAGCUACUGAUAUGAAUGAAUUUCCAUUGUGUGUGAAGUUUGAUAGUAGCUGGGUGGGUUACUCUGUUCCAAGCUUUACCAGAAAUAUGACUGAUGGUCCAGGAUAUAAGAGACAAGCUUUGAUGAGUAAUGCCACGUUCCAUAAUGGCUGCUUUAAUACUCCCAACACGACGCUUAGAACAGUUGCUGACGACGUGGGCUAUGUUGUUCCCGAAUCACGAAUUCCAUAUGAAAGAUAUAACACGGAAGUAGCAGGAUUCCAAAGAGAAAAUGCUAGGAGUUAUGAUAAAGCAGUGCGACCAGGAAGAACCUUAAACGGAUUUUUGUAUCCUAUGGAGGGACGUGACUGUGAGGGAACUUUGAGACCAGCACAGUCGCCAAGGAUGAGGUUAGGAUUUAGUCACCAGCUGCUUUAAGGGAGAACGUGGUGCUAUUAUGCUUUCGUGGAACAUUGAGCGACUUUUUGUCUUUAGUCGUGAAUUCUAGCUAGUUAAGCAUAUAUAGGUAUCGCAGUGUAGGUAAAAAGUUUUUAUUUGCUUUCAUUUCUGUUUGUCCUAAAAAUUAAGAAUUUCAGCAAUCUGUUGGUGUGUUGCAUGGUGUUGUCAAUCUCCUAUUUGCAAAGAACUCGAUCUGUUUCCUGUUGAUAGAACUAAAUUUAGCUUAACAAGAUCGAUGAAUUCAUCAAUGCAUUCACCACAAGUAAGAUACUCCUCCAUCGGUCAAUUAAGACAUGCAUGCAAAUUAUAGUAAUGCUACAAUUAAUAUACUUUUAUCAGUGUUAUUAUGUAAUAUAUGCUUAUGUGAGUGGUUGCUGCUGUGAGUUAGUGUAAUCUUUGUAUAUCUAAGACAAUAAUUUUAGAAUUGUUGUAAUUCUAUUGUCAUCAUAUCGUAAUCCGGUUUUAAUUAAAAAAAGAAAACGAAAAUUGUGUCCCAAUGUGAUUACCACUGCUGUAUGUUAACUUAUGCGGAAUGAUGCAUGCCUUAAUUAUGUUUGAGUUUUCAAAUUAUUUUAAUCAAACAUAUGCAGUUGAUAAGAAUUGUCCUUAGUUUUAGAUUCGAUACACUAGCAAUCAUCAAGUAAUUGAUUAUCAAAUAUAAUCUGGGAGUAGGAUCCAGUACAAUUGAUAAGUUGCCCAAUCCCAAACAUGUAUAAAGAGUUGUUUGUAUUUUGUUUAAAGUCUAAAUUUUACUUAUUUUCAGACAUUUAUUGUUUUUCAUUUAUUAGUUUUCUGUCACUUAUAUUUGGUUACAGGGUCCAGCUACCGUGCCCGAGGGGCAGGGUACUAGGGAUGGCAAUGGGGAGGGGAGGGGAGGGGAGGGGACCAAUCUCUCCGUACCCAUCCUCGAUAUUUUGCGUAUGUCCCCGUCCCCGUCAGAAUUACUUGAGAGAAUCUUCAUCCUCUCCCCGAAUAAUAACAGGGGAUCCCCAAGGGUCCCCGAUCCCCGAAUAAUUAAUACAUUUUUUGUUUUCGAUUUUGAGUUAAUCAUAUUAAAAUAAAAAAUUCAAAUAAAAGUAAAGUUUGAAAUAUAUCUUACAUUAAUAUCCAUUACAAAAGUUACAUACAUUAAAUUAGUAAGUAACGCAGCAUGUAAGGGAUACAAAUUUCUUUUACAAACUAUCGUGAAUAAAUUAAUAGUCUAAUACAAAAUUGUUACACAUAAAAUCAAAUUUAGAUUCAAAAUUAACUUUUUCAAUGGUGGCGUGGCACUUUAUAAAAUGUGCACUAUUCCCUUUACAACACAAUAGUUAAGUCGGAGCAAAUCAAAAGUAAAUAUUAGAUUAAAUUAUAUUAGAUUAAAUUAAAUUAGAUAUUAAAAUUGUGAUUCGCUGUAGGCAAUUAUAACAUCUAAAAAUAAAUAAAAAAUAGAUUUAAGUUUAAAACAUUUAAUGAAUAUUAAAAUUAAAACAAAAUUUUUGGGCUAAUAAAAUUUACCCAGUUUUUUUAAUGUCCUAAAUAAAAAUUUAUGACUUUAAGUAGUUAAUUAGGCCUAAAAGUUUAAUAAUAUAAAUAUUUUUAUAUUUGUAUUUUUACCAAUAUUUAUAAUUUUAUAAUUCAAAUUUUAUUAUUUAUUUACUAGUAAUUUUAAAAAAUAAAAAUAAAAUAAAAAAUUAAAAUGGGGAAAUGGGUAGGGGAUGGGGAUGGGGAUUCCACCUCAUCCCCGUCCCCUCCCCGAAUAAGAAAUUGGGUAAAAAAAUUUUCCUGUCCCUUCCCCGAAUAAGAAAUUGGGUAUGAAAUUAUCUUCAUACCCUCCCUGAAUGGGGAAAAUCCCCGAGGGUACCCGUCCCCCUGGGGAUUUUUGCCAUCCCUACAUGGUACCCUUUUUUUUUGUCAUUAUCCAGUGUAGCCGUUAGAUUAUAAUUAAUUUAAUCCAACGGAUGGGGUUUGAAAGGCGUAAAAGUCAAUUACAGUGGGAAACCGUCGAAACCAGUUUCUUCCAGUUUCUUUGUUCGAGAUAAGUGCUAGGGACUGUAAACCCUUACUAGCCAUUUUGACCGAUGACAGCGGUUUCUCGAAUGCAAGAAAAUUGAAAUGGGCAAGGCGUAACUGUGGCUGGGGCAGCACUUCCGUGUGGGAUUUUUGAAUUGGCUUGCGAUGACUUGCAGUUUGUCGUGGCAGUAUUGAAUGAAUCAGAAGGGAUUGGAUUAACAAAAUUUAAGGUCAGUGUAAUUCGAAUUUUAGAUUAGUGAUAGGAAUCAUUUGUCGCUAAUAAAAGUGGAUGGUGGAAAUUCAACGUUUCGUUUGGAUAAUUGGAAAAAUUGAGGGGGCAUGGCAAAAAAUUUAAAUUUAAAUUAAGGAUAUGUCCUGAACAACGCGGUUGCUGGUUGAGUGGAAAUAUUGAACCCAGAUGAAUAAUGAAUUGUUUUACAUAUACACGAUUGCAAAAUAUAUGUUGUACAGAGAUGGAAAAAUUGAGGAGUAGAGGGCAAUAAUUAUUCAAAUUAUUUAGGGAUUAUUUAGCAGCAGUUCAAUAAAAUCUCACCAGAGCCAGCAAUCUAAUCGCGCUCCGUUCUUCCUCACCAUUCUCAUAGUCGGCUCGCUCUGUCUUCUCCGUCGAUUUAAUCUCUCACAACAAUUAGCGCCACAUCUUCUUCACUUUAGAAUAAGAAACACUCAGCUGAAGAAAUCACAAAACAUAAAACUCAAAUAUAGCAUUAAGCAUAAACUCAGUUAAAAUUGAGCUCCAAAUUAUAGAUUCCAUCUGAAUUAUUAUACAACGUUGCAUCUAUAUAUCAAUUAUCAUUCGAAUAAAACAAAAACCAAAAUAGGGAAAAGGCAUGGUAUACAAUCAUUCAUGGGUUAGACACAUAAAUCACUGUGUAAUCAGACAUUCUAACAAGAAAUUUCCAACAGUCGGCGAAGAGAUAACGGCAGCUAUGACCCACAACUGCUAUGGAUUUAGGAGGGAGAGAGAGUGAGCCGCAGUUGUUGGAUUUGGAGAAGGAGAGACCCACAGCGGGGAAGAGAGAGUGACCCAUGGCGGUUGGAUUUGGGGUGAAGGGAAGGGAGAGAGCCGACAAUGAGAUUAGUGGCGAGAGAGCAAGAGGGAGAGAGCGUGUGUGUUGCAAUUGUGAACACGUGUGUGUUACAAUUUAUACUUAUGAUGGGUGUCGAAGCCAACAAAAAUAAAUUCCUACUCUAAAUAAAUUGUGUAUAGUGAUUGAGCAGGGUCGUGUCUACAGAGAUCGGUAAUUAUUUAAAUCCUUUUGAAACGUAAAACGUAAAAUGGGGGAAUUGUUGACAAUAAUAAAAAUCAAAUUAAAAUAACAAGAAUGCAAAUUAAAGUUGUAAUUCAAAUUGGAGAAAGCUCUGGUUGAAGGAAUCAACUCAGCUUGAUUCGACUACUGAUCAUUGAUUCAAAUAUAGAUUAUUAUUAUUACUUAUGAAUAGACCGGUUAUAGCUACUGAGACCCUCUAAUAGCCAAUCUCUCCUUAACUAGUCGAUAACCAAGGUACGACCGUUGGUUAUUUCCCUAAUCAAUAGACAACCCUAGAUACGAUCAUAGGAUUUAAUCAAUUGACAGCCUGAGAAACCAGAGAGACCCAAAUCCUAAUCAACACAUAUGAUGAUUCAUUUAAAUUAGAUUGUUUAUUCUCACAACACAACUCUCUGCUAUGUUAUUUGUCACAAACAUUAAAUUCUUCAUACGAUGAAUCCUUUAAUUGACAAUAGAUUAAGUUGAUAAUUAAAUAGUGGCCAAUUACUUAAUUAACAAACAUAAUCAUGAAACUAAUUCAGAGAAUAAACAAAUACCCAAAAAGUAAUAAAACAAUUAAAGCACAAGAAAGAUCUCACAGUAGUGAUGAAUCAAAGCUUCAUUAUCCUUCAACCAGAAAAAUAGGUUUAGUUCUUCAUAGAGAGAAGAGAAAAAUUAGAUCUAGGGUUUCUUUUUUUUUCUCCAAUCCAAAAAUCCCCCCUUUUUCACAAUAGAUUCCUCCCUUAAAUACUCUCUCUCUAUUCUCUUUUAGAAUUCUAUUUAAAAUAAAAUCCUAAUAUCUGAAAUAUUAAAUUCGUAAUUACAAAAAUAACCAAAAAUACAAAACACGUUAAACUAAAAACUGCAGGUCCGCAGUUGACAGCACGCGCCCACGCCUUAUCAACAAAGUUCUUCUGACGCUCAUAAUUUCUCCAAGAGAACAAUCCUCCUUAAACAUCAUCUUUUAGCUCAAUUUUAUCAUCAAUCAAUAGAAUUGCACCUACAAAAGUAAAACAUUAUUAUUAAGUGCAAAACAUCGAUAUUAAGGGAAGUAAACAAUGCAAAACUAGUGCAUAAAUUGCACUCUAACAACUUACCUCAAAACGCACCGUUCGUUGCUAUUUAUGGUGCUAAAUGUGGUGUGAAUCUCACUUUCCAAGAAAUUUAUUGUUAUAUACACCAACUUUUUAUUGUUUCCUUUAACACAGUAAUUGCAACAUGAAUAGUUCCUGUCUUAUGACCACCACUCUGGGUUUCCUUAAACUGUCGCGUGACCACUUCAGAGCUGUAUGAUUUUGCUCUUUUUCAUCCAACGGCUAGCUCACUGCAUGACAAAGUAAGGGGGUACCGUGCCCAAGGGGCAUUGUAGACGGAGCCCUGGUUAUAAGAUGUUUACGUCUGAAUUGAAAAAGUUAAAUAUUUUAACUUUUAUCUAAAGGACAAAAUAUCUGAAUAUAACUUUAAUAUUUUCUAAUUAUUACCCCUUUUAAAUAAAUUUAUUUUUUAUUAUACAAAUUAUUCUUUUAUUUUUUUUUAAUUUAUCCUUUUUUUGGGUUAUAUGUGCGUAUUCAACUUUUUCUUUGAAUGAGAAUUUUAACAUAAUAAAGUUUUUAGGUGAGUGCGUUUUAUAACAGGUCCAUCUUUUUAUAUUUAUAUUUACUAUUCUUAUAAUGGAUUUUGAAUUUUGUUUAAUACAUUAAUUUUAAUUCAAAUGAUUAAAUAAUUCUUAAUUGGCUUUUGUAAUUAAUAAGAAUAUCAACCUAAUAUACCAAAAAGAACAUUAUAAGUAUCAUAUAUUAAUGUAAAAAAAUACAUAUGUUAUAUAUAUAUAUAUAUAUAUAUAUAUAUAUAUAUAUAUAUUAUUUUUCUUGCUUUGUUAAGGUAAACAUUAUCUCAAAUUUUUUUUUUACUAAUUAAAUAAUUCAUCUAUAACUUGUCAUGUGUUUAACCAGUAAAAUUGAAGUAUUGUUAAUAUUUAUAUGUUAUACAUGUCAAAAUAUCAUAUUUAAGAUGUUUUAAUUUCGAAAAAUAAAUAACUUAACGCUUAUAUUCAGUUAUUGAAAAAAAAAACAUGUUAUUUAGAUAUAUGUAUUUAAACUAUUAAAAUUUUUGUUAAAUUCAAACAUAUUCAGAUUUCAAACUAAAAAAAAAAAAUGCUACCUUAGUCCUGUAAAUAAAUUAAAAUACAUAAAUUAUGUGGUUUUAGAGGGUUCAUUUCAGCAAUUCAGCCGGUCGUGUACUGCCUUUUGUGAGUUACAAGACCAUGUGCGGAUUGACCAAAGAAAAUCAUAAUUUAACGAUAUUUUCUUUUAAGAUUAAAUCACAUUGAUCUCAUCUUUAUAUUCUUAAAAAAUGUUACAAAAUCUUAUUUGCACCAUAACUUAGUAAACCCGUUCUCUAAAUCUUAUUUGCACCAUAACUUAGUAAACCCAUUCUUAGUUAGAGAACCCGCCAGCAACCCAUUUCUCUUAUUUAUUUCGUGUCCUUCCCUCACAUUUUUUUUGAUUUUUUCCUUUGCUAAAGAAACCUCCUUCCUAUUUUCUUAUCGUAAAGCGAUUGGAACCCCUUCUUGAAUAACCUCAUUUCAAAUAAAAUUAUAUUAUAUUAAACAAUAAAUAAAAAUUGAACGUACUUAAAAUAUUUUAUAACAAAUUACUUACAUUCAUAAUCAAUUUUUUUUUUACUCGUCACUUCUAUUUAAUCAAAAUAAAUUAUAAAAAAUUAAAUUAAUAUAUUUUUCUUUUCCUAUUUCUUACUGAUUAAAAAUUUUUAUACCGAAGUUUGCUUUCAAAUUAUAGUUUAAAAUAUGUGUAAUUUUAUUUAAUAAUUGACUUUAAAAAUCUGUUACUAAAAAACUUUUUAACAUAUUGUGUAGGACAACAAAAUGUGUUAUGUCUCGUAGUUAAUUUUUUUAUAUUAUAGUAAUGAUGUGUUAUUCUUUGUGCUAUGCACCUAUUACUAUGGUUUUUUCGGUACUGCCUUUUUUUAAUUUUUUUUUUCGUUUAAUGUCUUCCAACGAAGUUUUGCUGGGAAUUUAUACAAUUACUGAAUUAAGCUACUUUAUAUAUGUUGAAUUUAUAAAAUAAAAAAGACUCAAUCAUAAGAGUUCGGAAGGAAUCGUUUUCAGUUUUUAUGAUGAUCGCAUUAGUAACUUAGCCAGGAAACUUUGUGUGCACUGAUUGCCUCUAGAUUGUAAAUUCAAUUGAUCUCGUCUUGGUUGAAGUAGAUGAUAGUAAAUAGUAUCUGAGUUUCAUUUCAGAUUCCAAAAACAAUUCUCCAUGUGAAUGGUUAAGUAGAGAUUCACAUUGCUUUCUUUUUCUUUAGAGGAAUGGCUGACUCCUUUGAUCAUGAAAUUGUAUCACGGCUAUCACAAAAACUCGAGUAAUUCUAUUUAUAUAAUCAAAAUAGAGUUGAGUUCGAGCUCCUUCAUUUUAACUGAUUUAUUAUGAUGCAUAACCACAAAUGAUGAGAUGGUGUUGGAUAUGAUAAUGGGAAUUAGUUGUCAAGGAGAAAAUUAAUACAGUUAGUCGCAAAACUCUCCUAGUCCUUGGAAGUAAUUUAAAGGAAAGGUGCAUCAAUUUGUUUGUGUAGCUUACUGUAUGGUUAGAGAAUUUCGUGCUCUUGGUCUUCUGAGCUUUCUUACUCUUGAUUCUAUAGACCUGCGCCCAACAUUUAUCAAGGUUUGGCUUUCUUUAUUUUUUGCUCUUUUUGUGGCUUUUUUGUUUUUGUUUUCGGUUUUCUUUUUUUUUUUUGUUUAUGGCUCUUGGGCCAUAAAUUAUCACAAAAGACAAGUCUUCUCUGGUCUCCGGGAAGAGAAAUGGAAAUUGCAAAAAGUUUUGAUAAUUUUUUGUGCAAUGUAGGACCCAAUAAAGGCAAAAAAAGUUGAAAACACUUUUGUUGUUUUCUAAUUUUAUGAAGGAGUGAGAAUGAUUUUUUAUUUAUUUUUAAUGACUGUGGUGCAAUUUUGCAAAAGAUUAUAUGCCCGAUAAAAAGAGAGCAUCUAUGGUCAAGUGUGCGCCACACAUAUUAUCGAGUGCGAUAGCGCGUGGGAUGAGCUUUCUUAAGAGGGCGCUGGGCACCACAGCAAAGCUUCCCCAAUGAAAGCUCGCCACUCAUUAAGCUACUCCAGAUAUACACGGCUGCAAAAAUAAACAAAUCAACUUGCAAUAAAAUAAAUAUUAAAAUAAACUGAAAAAAGCUCAAAUGCCGACAAAUUCCACUUUGCUUCAAAAUUAACUUUAUAGUAAGUAUGAAGAAUAAAAUAUAAACAAUCAACUUCCAAGUUGAAAAUUCUGCAUUCUUAAACCAAUGUUCAAACAGUGUAUGCUGAAGCAUCGAUCUGCUUUGUAAAUUAGACCUGCUGGCAUGAUAUGGCGGAGGCCGCGGUGAACUUUGCUCUAGAGACCUUGGGUCCUUUGCUUGUCGAAGAAAUCAGAUUGUGGGGAGGUGUUAGAAAAGAAGUUCAAAGCAUCAAAAGCGAACUGGAGAGUCUCAGAUCUUUCCUCAAAGACGCAGAUGCAAGGGCAGCAGUCGAAGAAUUAAAAGGAGGCGGUGAGGAAAGUGUCAGAACUUGGGUGAAACAACUGAGGGAUGAAGCUUAUCGCAUUGAAGAUGUGAUCGACGAGUACACACUCACGGUGGCAAAACUCCCUCAUGGGAGUGGCCUCGUUGGUGUUCUCCAUAGAAUCAGUCGUUUCAUAAAGAAGUUGAAGCUGCGGUGUGGAGUUGCUACUGAGAUUCAAGAUAUCAAAUCAGCGCUUGCUGAUAUAAAGGGAAGGGGAGAAAGAUAUCGAUUCAGAUCUAUUGAUGAACCAUCGAGCAGUGGAACCAGAAAUGUUAUCCCACAUGACUCUCGAGUUCGUUCCUUUUUCGUUGAAGAUGAUGAAGUUGUGGGCAUCGAAUCCAUUAAAGAUAAAUUGAUUGAUUUGAUGGUGAACGGAAGAUCCGAACGUUCAGUGGUUGCUGUGGUGGGUGAAGGAGGACUAGGCAAGACCACUCUUGCCGGAAAACUUUUUAACAAUGAUGGUUUAAAAACUCACUUCAGUAGCCGGGCUUGGGUCACCGUUGGGAAAAAAUACAAAAAAAAUGAUCUGUUGAGGACAAUUCUAAAGGAGUUUCAUCGUUUGUCAAAACAUGGAAGAGAUGGACCUGAUAACUACGCUGAGGGACCACUCUUGCCUACUCUAGAGGAGAUACACAACAUGGAAGAGAUGGACCUGAUCACCACGCUGAGGGACCACUUGAAGGACAAAAGUUACAUGGUUGUGUUUGACGAUGUUUGGAAGAUUGAUUUUUGGAGAGACGUGGAGCAUGCUUUACUUGAUAACAAGAAAAGCAGCAGGAUAAUUGUCACAACACGGCGCAUGGAUGUCGCUAAGUUUUGCAAAUCAUCUUCCCCUGUUCAUGUCCAUGAGCUUGAAACUUUGCAUCCGAAUGAAGCGUGGAAACUUUUUUGUAGAAAGGCGUUCGGAACAAGCUCCGGAGGCUCUUGUCCUUCAGGGUUGAGGGAGUUGUCCCAGGACAUCCUUGCAAAAUGUGGAGGUUUGCCUCUUGCUAUUGUGGGCGUAGGUGGACUUCUUUCAACCAAGGACAUGGUUGUAUCUGAAUGGAAGAAAUUGUUUGAUAGGUUGGGCUCACUGUUAGGAAGCGAUCCCCAUCUAAAAGAUUGCAACCGAGUUUUAUCUGAAGGGUAUUAUGAUCUUCCUCACCAUCUCAAAUCAUGUCUUCUGUACUUUGGCUUAUUUCCAGAGAGCUGCAAAGUUAACUGUGCUAGACUCAUCCGUUUGUGGAUAGCUGAGGGCUUUGUCCAGUACAGCAAACGCCCCACAUCUGAACAGGUUGCAGAAGAAUACUUGAAUGAGCUCGUUGACAGAAGCUUGGUUCAAGUUUCAGAGAGAGAUAUUUCUGGACGAGCUAGAAUCUGCCAAGUUCAUGAUCUUAUGCACGAGAUCAUCAUCAGAAAAACUGAAGAAUUGGGCUUCGGUCGUGUGCUGAACGGAGAGGACUUGAGUCGCUGCAGUAAAACUCGACGCAUUACUAUGCAGAGAAGUAUUGAUGAUGGUGCUUUAGUGAGCAUCAAGGACUCGAAGGUCCGUUCUGUUUUUCUGUUCAAUAUAGAUAAGCUGCCCGACUCUUUCAUGAAUGCAAAUAUUGCCAAUUUCAAGCUCAUGAAAGUACUAGAUCUGGAAGAUGCUCCUAUAGUUUACCUUCCUGAAGGAGUGGGAAACUUAUUCAAUUUGCACUACUUGAGUGUGAGAAAUACAGAAGUAAAAAUAAUUCCCAAGUCCAUUGGAAAUCUUCUCAGUUUAGAGACUUUGAAUAUGAAAAAUACUUUGGUGAGAGAACUUCCAGUAGAGAUCAGGAAUCUUAAAAAGUUGCGUUAUCUAAUGGUGUAUCAGCUCAAUUAUACCGCAGGUGGAACAGUAGCAGAAGAAGCAGCAGCGAAAUUACACGAGGGCUUUGGGUCUCUAACGAAUCUGCAGAAGUUGUGUAUUAUAGAAGCUGACUCUGAAGCGCUCAAAGAGCUUAUGAAGCUAAGGCAGUUAAAAAAGUUGAGCAUUAGGCCCCAAAAUGGAAGUGGCAAGGAUCUGUGUGCUUUGAUUGCAAAUUUGGAAAACCUAGAGUCUUUAAAUGUAGGAAUGAAAAGCAAAGAAGAAGUACUUGGCUUGCAGUCUUUGAGUCGUCCUCCUCGAUAUCUGCAGCGUCUGUACUUGAAGGGGAAUAUGAAGAAACUGCCGGAUUGGAUUUUUAAACUAAAAAAUGUAAUCAGAUUGAGUUUGGUACUGUCGGGAUUGACUGAGGAGCCAAUUAGAGUCCUUCAAGCCUUGCCUAAUUUAUUGGAUCUUUUACUCACAGGGACAUACAACUACGAGCUUUUUCACUUUGAAGCAGGUUGGUUUCCAAAACUCCAAAUAUUGAAGCUCUUUGACUUCGUCGCGGUGAAAUCGGUUAUAAUAGAGAAAGGUACGAUGCCUGAUAUUAAAGAACUGCAGAUUGGGCCUUGCCCGCUGUUGAUGGAGAUUCCUAUUGGAAUUGAACAUCUUAAAAACCUUAAGCUACUUCUAUUUGCUCGUAUGGUUAAACAAGUGUAUUACAUGACAAAAGACGAGAACUGGGAGAAGGUUACUGAGCAUAUACCAGAUGUCCUUGUCACUUUUGUGAAGGCCGGGCAAGUGUUUCAUUAUGGAAAAGAGGAUCUCUCGGUUCUCUCAUCUCUCUCUCCUGAAUAUGUUGAGCAAAUCUGCUGAAGUAGAGGACUCAAAUAAGGAGCAGUCUAUGAAAUAAGUAAACAGGUCUGCCACUCUCCUGCGUAUUUGAAUUAUUUUCUAUUUACGUUUAAGAAAAAUUAUUUUUCUCAUUUUUAAUUUGACAGACAAUUUAAUUAUAUAUAAUUCAAAUAAAAAUUCACCAAGAAAAUUCAUUUUUCCCUGUAAUUUGAGUACGUUUAAUAAAUAAAUAAACAAAUGCAGUAGGUCAGUAAAUCUUUUUCUAGUCAAAUAUAUAGUUAGAAUCAUAUAAUGAUUAGGUAUUAAUGUUAGUAUAGUAAUUUCCGUUAUAUUUUUUGUUACCAUGAACAGAUGGAGUAUGUAUAUCUUCCUUCUGGUGAAUUCAUUGAUGAGUUCAUCGAACCUAUACUGGAUCAGAUUGUGGCGGCAAGCUGCUAUUGAUAUGCUUUGAGUUUGAGUAAUUAUGAUAAGUGUUAUCAUGUAAUAAAUGCUUAUGUGAGUUGUUGCGGCCGUGAGUGUGAGUGUAUUCUUCUAUAUACAUCCAAGACUGAGAUUAUAAUUUUAGAAAUGUUGUAUUGCUAUUGUAAGGAAUUGUCGUCAUAUAAUAUUCAGUGUUUAAUAUAAUAGUCGGAAUUUUUUUUUUUUUUUUGAAAUUGCUGUGAGUCUUGGGAGGCUCACUCAUUGUAAUUGAUAUGUUAAACUGAUUAAGGAAGCGGGAAGCAUAAAGUAGACCAAAGUGUUGAAUAGUUCUUUAAAAGAGAAAUAUUGCUAGAAAUUUUAAUUUUAUUUAUUUAUUUAUUAUGUCAUGGUUUUAUUUAUUCAUAAAAUUGAAAGCCACAAUGUUGAGUCUCUUCACAGUAAAAGAAACUUGUGGCCCUAAAUGAUCGUUAGAAUUUAAGAAUAUAUAUAUAAUUUUUUUUUUCAUGUUACUAAGAUUUUUUUUUUAUUUCCAUUCAAAAUUAACCAUUAAAAAGAAUUAAAUUUAAGAAAAGCCAAUUAAAAAGAAAUUGUAACCGUUGCUCCAUUGUGAAAAUUACGUUCAACAUCUCAAGAAAACAAUCUUAGUUGGAAGAAAUUCCGGAAAAAUAUAGAUGGGUUUUUGAAUUUGAAAUUUAAACUCAAUUAAGGAAACUAGUAAAUAAAAGGAAACACAAAACCAUAUUGGCCGUGGCCGUGGCCGUGGACCUGACAACAUAGCCCUCCGAUAAUUUCAAUCUCUUUAUCAUCCUUCCUAAAACACCCUUCCAAACUUCUCAAACUAUAGAAGACAGAAUCACAGACAGGAAUUACAUCAGGGCUAAUUAUGUCAUUUUAAAUUCCUGGGUCAAAUCUGGUGAAGUAUUGUCCUCGUCAUGAUCAUUUGCCAUGCAAAAGUAUAACAAACUCUUCGGCAAUCUCACUACUACUAUGGCAAUAGUGGCUGAAGGUGCUGAAAAAGUAGAGGAAAAAUAAACGGGUUUGACGGGGAAAAAAAAAAGAAGAAGAAGAAGAAGAGAAAUGGAUAAUGCAUUAUUCAUCAAAACAUAAAAUACUGCCGGGCGAAGGAGAUUUCUCUCUUUCUCUCCCAGAAAUUUGGCUCUGCUUCUCACAUCUGCGCUUCUUCUCUUGAUUCUUAUGGUACGGUAAUAUAAUCAAUUUUACGGAAAAAGAAAAAUAGAGAAUUGUAAAAUUACCAGGAAAAUUAUUAAAAAGUAUUAUUAUCUGUUUACAUAUCUUGUUUAUUUGGAAGUCAAUAUAAACUAUAUUUGGAUGGUUUAGAAACUGUCAUUCAGAAAUUCAAGAAGGCAGAGUCAAAUUUGGACACUCUAAAUUAAGAAGCUGGGAGCGUCCCUUAUCCAUGGAGUUGAUGCAACUGAAAUGAAGCGUCAUCCUGAAUUGAGAGAGCGGAGCGUUGACAGAAUUAUCUUCAACUUCCCCCAUGCUGGCUUUUCUGGAAAGGAAGACAACAAUCAACUUAUUUAGUGAGCUGCUUUAAGAUACAGUUCCUUGUAGAAAUUUUCUGUUUCUUCUGAAUUGCUUCCCGAUUUGAAACUUUCAUUUCUUUUGCAAUGAUCCAGCUAUUCAUUGUGUUAAGGAAGCUCACACUUGCAAUUUGGUCAGCAGAGCAGAGGAUCACAGCAGCAGCUACAUUCAGUUGCGAAUUGAUGACGUGGCUUGCCAGCUGGCGCCUGGUGGUUAUGUGAACAGUUGUGCAUGUGUUAAUUAACUUAAGCUAUUAUAAUUAGUUACUUGAAAUAGUUAAUUAGCUAUAGUUAGUUACAACAAUCUGAGCUGAGCUUCAGCUUAGUAUAAAAAGGAACCUCUUGUACAUAUCAACGUGUGUGUGAUUAAUGAAAUGAUGUUCUAGAAAAAUCUCAGAUCUAGUUCUUAUUUCCUUUCAAUUUUCUCACUGGUUUCUCAGCUGCCAAACAAUAUUUUCGUUCUUCAACUCAUUGUCACUUUUUGAUGUUAAUACAGGGAUUAACAACUCAUGCUUUUGAAGAUCUCACGGAUAGGAUUGAAACUUAAUUGAAAAGUAUAGUUUCUAAAGGAGAAUUGCUAAAUUGCUGAUGAAGAAAUUAUAGUCUCGUUUAUUUGGAAGUUAAUAUAAACCAUCUUUGGAUGGAUUAGAAACUGUCACUCAGAAAUUCAAGAAGGCAGAGUCAAACUUGGACACUCUAAAUUAAGAAGCUGGGAGCAUCCCUUAUCCAUGGAGUUGAUGCAACUGAAAUGAGGCGUCAUCCUGAAGUGAGAGAGCGGAUCGUUGAUAGAAUUAUCUUCAAAUUCCCCCAUGCUGGCUUUUCUGGAAAGGAAGACAACAAUCAACUUAUUCAAUGAGCUGCUUUAAAAUACAGUUCCUUGUAGAAAUUUUGUGUUUCUUCUGUAUUGCUUACUAAUCUGAAACUUUCAUUUCUUUUGCAAUGAUCCAGCUAUUCACUGUCAUCGUUUGAUGUUAAUACGGGGAUUAGCAACUCAUGCUUUUGAAGAUUUCAUGGAUAGGAUUGAAACUUAAUUGAAAAUCAUAGUUUCCAAAGGGGAAUUGCUAAAUUGCUGUGAAGAAAUUAUAGUCUGGUUUAGAUUUAGAUACAAGUUGAAAGCGAAAACCCAGCUUUGAUUUUAAGGGAUCUGGGAUUUGGAUGACUCUUGCAUAUAUAGAAUAUUUUUGUAAUGUUUGCUUUCAAUGGUUGAUUACUUGUUAGUGAGGAAUUUCAGAGUGACAAAAAAUGCAGAGUCCUGUGGAAACGUGGUGUUAAGAAUAGAAUCAAGUUAGUUAAUGAGAAUGCUGACAUGGCAGCUGAGUCAGCUAAAGGUUGUUAUAGAAGUUGUUAGUAGUAAUCUGCGCGUGUGUGCAAUGUGUGUAGAAUCUUCUAUGCACAUAUAUAAAAAGGCUUGUAACCUCCAGAUUCAUUAUGAUCAAUAAUAACAGAAUUUUCAGUAUACAGAAGUUUUCUUUCUUUCUAUUUUCUCAAUAACCAAACAACAUCACAGUUUCAUAUAAAACUUAAUACGUGGGUCGAUACACUACAGUGACAUGAAAAUGGUUAAAAAAAAAAAGAGUGAACUUGCUUAAUAAAGUGAUCCGUUUUGCUUAAAAAUUCAAAACAUUGUAGUCUAGAGUUCCCUGUGAUAUUUUAAAAAUCACUAAUUCUGAAAAUGCUGGCUCGUAUACCUGUUCGAUGAUCGUUCUUCUGGUAAUCGCAGAAUCCAUAUGAGUCUUGUGGAAGGUUUCUUGAAAUGCAAGUGGCAUGCUGAGGCAUAGUUGUGAAGUUCAUGUAACCCACAAAACAACUGCUCCAUUUCGCGACUGGAAUAUCGAGGAACUUGCUCCCAAACACUGUUUGUCAUCAAUGUACCCUGUCAACCUUAAAAAAGAAGACUACCCUGGUUACAACAACAAGAGAGGAGCUGGUUUGAACUGUGAUGAGCCCUUCCCCUUGGGAGAGUGCAGUACCUUCAUAUUUGGAUUCUAUCGUGCUCGCAAGAGAGUAAUGAGUUAUGGUGGAUUCGCUAACAAAAGACAUCAGCCGGUUCAAGAGAUUCCAAUCCAAGUGCAGAAGGAUGGAACUCCAUUUGACUCGAGAUAUGCUAAUGCAAAGUCAGCCACUGGUAUGAAUGAAUUUCCAGCCUCUUCGAAGUUUAAUGGCAGCGGCAGGGGUUACUCUGUUCGUGAAUAUCCUAGGUUUGACAGUUUCAUACAUCCUCGAACAAGUUUCACUAGAAAUAUGACUGAUCAUCCAGCAUAUAAGAGACUAGCUUUGAUGAGUAAUAUACGGAGAGAAAAUGCUAGGUCCCAUAAUGGCCGCUUCAAUAGUUCCAUAAUUCUGUGUGAAAGGUAUAUCGCAGAAGUACCAGGAUUCCAAAGAGAAAAUGCGAGGAGUUUGUAUCCUAUGGAUGAAAGUCACUUGUUAAGGUUUCAAACAAUCAAUUUUUCUUACACCGUCUAUUUGGAAGAAUUAGAACAAGGGAGCAAAAAAUUCUUAUGCUGAUAGUUCCCAUUCUCCAUAAUUUUUUGUAGUGCAUGUUUUUAAGCAUAUCUAGCAUUACUGAAUGAAGUAGAAAUUUCAGGAAGCCAAGAAAUUUUGUGUGCAUUGAUUGCCUCUAGAUUUUAAAUUCAAUUGAUCUCCCCUUGGUUGAAGUAGAUGAUAGUAAAUAGUAUCUGUUUUAUUUCAGAUUCCAAAAACAAUCCUCCAUGUGAAUAGUUAAGUAGAGAUCCGCAUUGCUUUCUUUUUCUUUAGAGGAAUGGCUGAUUCCUUCGAUCAUGACAUUAUAUCACAGCCUUCACAAUCACAAAAACUCGAGUAAUUCUAAUCAUAUAACCAAAAAAGAGUUGAGUUCGAGCUCCUUCAUUUUAACUGAUUUAUUAUGAUGGAUAACAACAAAUGAUGAGAUGGUGUCGGAUAUGAGAAUGGGAAUUAGUUGUCAGCGAGAAAAUUAAUUUAUCAAGAAUACAGUUAGUCGCAGAAACUCUCCUAGUCCUUGGAAGUAAUUUAAAUGAAAGGUGCAUCAAUUUGUUUGUGUAGCAUACUGUAUGGCUAGAGAGUUUCAUGGUCUUGGUCUUCGCAGUUUUCUUAUUGGUGUGGUUUGGUUUUCUUUAUUUUUUGCCGACAAAUAAACAAAUCAACUUGCAAUAAAAUAAAUAUUAAAAUACUCUGAAAAAGCUCAAAUGCCGACAAAUUCCAGGUUGUUCAGUUCAAAAUUAAUUCUAUAGUAAGUAUGAAGAAUAAAAUAAAAGCAAUCAAUUUGCAAAUUGAAAAUUCUGCAUUCCUAAACCAAUGUCCAAACAGGGGUAAACAUGUCUGCAAACAUAAACAAUGAUCAAACACUGUUUGCAAAAGCAUCAAUCUGCUUUGUAAAUUAGACCUGCUGGUGUGAUAUGGCGGAGGCUGCGGUGAACUGUGCAAUAGAGACCUUGGGUCCUUUGCUUGUCGAAGAAAUCAGAUUGUGGGGAGGUGUUAGAAAAGAAGUUCAAAGCAUCAAAAGCGAACUGGAGAGUCUCAGAUCUGUCCUCAAAGACGCGGAUGCAAGGGCAGCAGUCGAAGAAUUAGAAGGAGGCGGUGAGGAAAGUGUCAGAACUUGGGUGAAACAACUGAGGGAUGAAGCUUAUCGCAUUGAAGAUGUGAUCGACGAGUACACACUCAUGGUGGCAAAACUCCCUCAUGGGAGUGGCCUCGUUGGUGUUCUCCAUAGAAUCAGUCGUUCCAUAAAGAAGCUGAAGCUGCGGCGUGGAGUUGCUACUGAGAUUCAAGAUAUCAAAUCAGCGCUUGCUGAUAUAAAGCGAAGGGGAGAAAGCUAUCGAUUCAGAUCUAUUGAUGAACCAUCGAGCAGUGGAACCAGAAAUGUUAUCCCACAUGACUCUCGAGUUCGUUCCUUUUUCGUUGAAGAUGAUGAAGUUGUGGGCAUCGAAUCCAUUAAAGAUAAAUUGAUUGAUUUGAUGGUGAACGGAAGAUCCGAACGUUCAGUGGUUGCUGUGGUGGGUGAAGGAGGACUAGGCAAGACCACUCUUGCCGGAAAACUUUUUAACAAUGAUGGUUUAAAAACUCACUUCAGUAGCCGGGCUUGGGUCACCGUUGGGAAAGAAUACAACAAAAAUGAAUUGUUGAGGACAGUUAUAAAGGAGUUUCACAGUUUCUCAGGGCAGCCUACUCCAGUCGAGAUACACAAAAUGGAAGAGAUGGAGCUGAUCACCACGCUGAGGGGCCACUUGAAGGACAAGAAUUACGUGGUUGUGUUCGACGAUGUUUGGAAGAUUGAUUUUUGGGGAGACGUGGAGCAUGCUUUACGUGAUAACAAGAAAUGCAGCAGGAUAAUUGUCACAACACGGCACAUGAAUGUCGCUAAGGCUUGCAAAUCAUCUUCCCCUGUUCAUAUCCAUGAGCUUGAAACUUUGCCUCCAAUUGAAGCGUGGAAACUUUUUUGUAGAAAGGCUUUCGGACCAAGCUCCGGAGGCUGUUGUCCUUCAGAGUUGAAGGAGUUGUCCCAGGACAUCCUUGGAAAAUGUGGAGGUUUACCUCUUGCUAUCGUGGCCGUAGGUGGACUUCUUUCAACCAAGAACAGGGUUGUAUCUGAAUGGAAGAAACUAUUUGAUCGGUUGGGCUCAAUCUUAGGAAGUGAUCCCCAUCUAAAAGACUGCAACAGAGUUUUAUCUGAAGGGUAUCACGAUCUUCCUCACCAUCUGAAAUCAUGUCUUCUGUACUUUGGCUUAUUUCAAGAGAGCUGCAAAGUUAACUGUGCUAGACUCAUCCGUUUGUGGAUAGCUGAGGGCUUUGUCCAAUACAGCAAAUGCCCCACGUCUGAACAAGUUGCAGAAGAAUUCUUGAAUGAGCUCAUUGACAGAAGCUUGGUAGAGGUUUCAGAGAGUGAUAUUUCUGGACGAGCUAGAAUCUGCCAAAUUCAUGAUCUUAUGCACGAGAUCGUCAUCAGAAAAACUGAAGAAUUGGGCUUCGGUCGUGUGCUGAACGGAGAGGACUUGAGUCGUUGCAGUAAAACUCGACGCAUUACUAUACAGAGAAGUAUUGAUGAUGGUGCUUUAGAGAGCAUCAAGCACUCGAAGGUCCGUUCUGUUUUUCUUUUCAAUGUAGAUAAGCUGCCCGACUCUUUCAUGAAUGCAAGUAUUGCCAAUUUCAAGCUUAUGAAAAUACUAGAUCUGGAAGAUGCUCCUGUAGAUUACCUUCCUGAAGGAGUGGGAAACUUAUUCAAUUUACACUACUUAAGUGUGAGAAAUACAAAUGUAAAAAUAAUUCCCAAGUCCAUUGGAAAUCUUCUCGGUUUAGAGAUUUUGGAUCUGAAAGAUACUUUGGUGAGAGAACUUCCAGUGGAGAUCAGGAAUCUGAAAAAGCUACGUUAUCUAAUGGUGUACAAGUACAAAUAUGACAGAAUUUCUACAAUCGAAGCUGUAGCCAGAGUGCGCGGGGGCUUUGGGUCUCUAACGGAUCUGCAGAAGUUGUCUAUUAUAGAAGCUGACUCUCAAGUGCUUCAAGAGCUUAUGAAGCUAAGGCAGUUAAGAAAGUUGGGCAUUAGGCCCCAAAAUGGAAAUGGCAAGGAUGUGUGUGCUUUGAUUGCAAAUUUGGAAAACCUAGAGUCUUUAACAGUAGAAAUGACAAGCAAAGAAGAAAUACUUGACUUGCUGUCUUUGAGUAGUUCUCCUCAAUAUCUGCAGCGUCUCUACUUGACGGGGAAUAUGAAGAAACUGCCGGAUUGGAUUUUUAAACUUAAAAAUCUAAUCAGAUUGGGUUUGGAACUGUCAGGAUUGGCUGAGGAGCCAAUCAGAGUCCUUCAAGCCUCCCCCAAUUUGUUGGAACUUAGACUCACAGGGACAUACGACUACGAGCUUUUUCACUUUGAAGCAGGUUGGUUUCCAAAACUCCAAAAGUUGCUUCUCUGGGACUUCGUCGCGGUGAAAUCGGUUAUAAUAGAGAAAGGUGCGAUGCCUGACAUUAGAGAACUGCGGAUUGGGCCUUGCCCAUUGUUGAUGGAGAUU
rnacentral:lncRNA from 1 species